GCCGGAGCAGCGAGGACAUCAGUGUCUGCUGUUGAAGCCCCGGCCGCGCUGCCCGCUCCGCCCGGCGGGGCCCGGCGCCCCACGCCACCUGCCGCCCCAGCUCCGCCGCGGGGGCCUCGCCGCGCCGCCUCCCUCCGGGCUGCCCCUUCUUCACCGAGGGCGACGCCCCCCGGGACUUGGGGUCACACUGCGCCUGCUCUAGCGUCACAGGAGCACUGUUGGCUGGAAGCCUCUGUCCCCGUGUCCCUCCUCGCCCUGGACGUGGCUCCCUGCGGCGGCCCCGCAUCUUCGCCUUCUCCGCGCGCGGGCGCCGGGCGCACCGAGGGCGCUCACGGGGCUCGUGGGUGCAGCGCGGAACGGGAACGGGACGGUGUAGCGAGCAUCACCCAAGUACAACUCUGGGAAAGUACGAGCUUGAACUGCUACAGCGAUCGUGUGGGAAGGGGGUGACCUCCCUCAGAUGUUUGACCGCCGCCGGGUCCACGCCAUCUUCACUCAGCACACGCUUGCUGAAUGCCUGUCUGCGCUGGGCACUGGGGAGAGUGAACAAGACUCUUCUUGUCAAGGUCAUGGAUGCUGUUUAAGCCAGGAGAGAUGAAGAAGAUGCCGAGGCUGACCUUUGUGGUACUCCAAAUUUUAGUGAUCUUCACAUUAGAGAUGUCCAGCCAAGGUGACAGAAAAGGAGCAGCCAGAAAGGCAGGAGAAAGAUCAAAGUAACCGAUGUCAUGGAAGCCAAGAGAAGAGAUGCUUCAGGAGGAAGGAAGAGUUGAAGUGUUACCGAAGAGCCAAGAACAUUAGCCCUGAGCUAACAUCUGCUGCCAAUCUCCCUCUUUUUGCUGAGGAAGACUGGAACUGAGCUAACAUGCGUGCCCAUCUUCCUCUACUUUAUAUGUGGGACGCCUGCUACAGCAUGGCUUGACAAGUGGUCGUGAAGCUCCAGGGAAAGAGAACUUUAUUGGAUUGUAUCCAUGAUUGAAAAAGCCUUCCUUCCAUUUUUAACAUCAAUCUGGGGAAUGAUCAAUUGCUAAACUUUGAAAAUACUCUAUUCAUUGAGCACGUACGCCAUCCACAGUCACUGAGGAGGAGAGAAAGGGAGCCUGGAAGAUCCUGGAGGAUAAAAGUGCUUUUCCAAGAGGCAUUUGGACCAUUAAACUAUGAUGGGAUGGAUUUAGGCUCUGAGAAAAGGUUUUAGAGUAAAAAAAAAAAAAGGAAGACUUUCAGUAU
rnacentral:lncRNA from 1 species